AUGGAAAAGCAUCUAGCUGGCUGUGAUUAUAGAUGGAUAUGGAAAGCUGAACUCCCUCUUAAGAUUCAAAUCUUUUUAUGGCAAUUAUUCCAGGAUGCUGUGUUGACACGAGAUGUCAUGAGCAGACGAAACUGGGCUGGAAACCCGAAGUGCUCCUUUUGUAUGGAUAGAGAAACCUCGCAUCACCUUUUCUUCACCUGCCCUGUUGCCAGGGUAGUCUAUAUAGGGUAG
rnacentral:rRNA from 1 species